GCCCCCAUCGUAUAGCGGUCUAGUACCUCGCCCUCUCACGGCGGUAACACGGGUUCAAAUCCCGUUGGGGGUACCA
rnacentral:tRNA from 1 species